rnacentral:lncRNA from 1 species
UUGAGGACACGACGGUGCCGUUGAAGCGGCUGAGGUUGAGAAGAGGAGUCGGUGCGUGCGUUGCCGAGGUUGAAGCGGCCGCAUAAGAGCUUGCUGCGUGUGCUGUUGGAGGGCGGCUGCGGUGGCUUUGCCGAGGUUGAGGCUGCAGUGGAAAAUAGGAAUCGACGGUGGCAGGCUGGGCGGCGAGCGGCGUCGUGGCUGGCUGGGCAGCAGCGGCGACGGUGGUGGCAACCGGCGUUCGCAGCAGCAAGAGGAUUGCCCUGUUUCGGUCACAAGGGGGCAGAGCAAGGGGGAGUGGCGGCGGUCGUUCUCGCCCGAGCGAGGGGGAACGGCGGCUGGGAGGCGAGCAGCGGUCGCCGCACGGUGGCUGGCAGUGGUGGUGGGUCGGCUGGAAGGCGACGGCGCUCGAGGCGUGGCUGCGAUUGACGAGGGGCUGCGGCAACAGAGGAAGCUCUGUUUCUGCAACCGCUGAGGGGCUGCGGCAACCGGCGGUUGCGGCUGCGGUGCCGGCGGUCCUUCUCGCUCGAGCGAGAUGAGGACGUGAGGAGAAGAGGUCACUGGCCGGGAAGCGGGG